CGAAUCGGAGCAGACGGGGAAGUUGGUUUUAUCAAGGAAAACACCUAAAGUAAGUGUUUUACCUCAUUUACAUUAUGUAUUAUAUAGGAUAAUAUUACUUUAUGAAGAUAUUUGUAUGCUGUAUGCGCCUAAACGAGCCUAAACGUUUCUCACAGAUUUGAAUUGUUAUACAGCGCAGAUGCAGAGGUUGCUUUUAACAGGAAAACGUAAGAAAGAGAUAUUCUUUCACUCGGGAGAUGAUGUGCUUGAAGAGUAUGAAGUCACCAUUACAUUAAGUGGGAUGAGAAGAGCUUUGUUAGGACACAUACCAGAGACAAGGGAGGAGUCCAACCUCAAUGCAGAGAGAGAUCAGUACGCACUUGGAAUUAUGACUUCGUUUCUGUUGUUAAAAGACUAAUUUUCCAGUCACCGUAGCCACCCAGAUCCAGACUGAAUCCAGA